UGAGAGUGUGAAUAUUCUGAGACUUCACAAAGUAUAUGGGCAGAACUCGAAGCUAGAUAUGGUAUAACCAAUAGAACCAAAAUUUUUGAAGUUAAAAGAGAAGUCUCUCACAUUUCUCAAGGACCCCUAGAUAUAGCAUCAUAUUUUAACAAACUCAAACGGUUGUGGGAUGAGUUAGGAGCAGUAUGUACAAAUCAUGGCCAAAGAUGUAUUUGUGCUGCCAACAUCAAGGCCAAAGAUGUAUUUAUGCUGCCAAAACUGGCAUCAUACAGGAGGAUGAGGAGAAUAAGGUGUUUCAAUUCCUCAUGGGCCUUAAUGAGACAUAUAUGGGGGUAAGGAGCAACUUGCUAAUGAUGCAGCCUCCUCCUACCCUCGACAAUAUCUAUAACAUUCUCCUCAAUGAUGAAAAACAAAGACAAGUUCAGUCUAUUUCCCAAUUCAAUCCUGAUUCUAUGUCCUUCAGUGUCAACACAAACAAAAAUUCUACACCUUCUUUUGGAAUGAGUCAAGUUGCAGUGCCAACUCUUCUCCUCUCAGAUAGUAUGCCCAAAGAGUUACUUUUGACACUAGAGGACAUCUUUUCUGUAGAUAUUGCAAGAACUCUGGGCACUUAAUUGAUAAGUGUUACAAACUUCAUGGGUUUCCACAAAGCACCAGGUUUAACAAAAGGAAGAGAACUGCUGCUGCCCAUGUAACCACUGGUGCUGAUUUCACCUCCUUCACCUCUUCUGAUGGAUACACAUCUAAUGUUUCUGGAAAUCCCAUUGAGGGUAAUUCUUCUGUACCAAAUGUGGAUGGACACGGAUCUGUAAUCCCUGGCUUGAGCAGACAACAUUAUGAUCAACUGAUGACUCUGCUGCAACACACUAUGUUGGGGGAAUUCACUGCUCAGACCCCUCCUCCUAUGUGUGCUGCCAAUUUUGCUGGUACUAUGCUAACUGAGAGUCUUGUUUCUGAUUCCAAACUUUGUCUGCUUACUCAUAUUGCUUCUGUCUCAACUGAUGACUCUGCUGCAACAAACUAAGUUGGGGGACUCCACUGCUCAGACCCCUCCUCUUAUGUGCUGCCAAUUUUGCUGGUACUAUGCUAACUCAGAGUCAUGUUUCUGAUUCCAUACUUUGUCUGCUUACUCGUAUUGCUUCUGUCUCCUGGAUAAUAGAUUCAGGGGCUUCUGAACAUAUGACAUCUAAUAAAAGCUUACUCUUUAACAUCACACCUUUAACUGUACCUUGUCUUGUAACCCUUCCUAAUGGAUACAAAGUGAAAGUGACUUCCACAUGCUCUUUUGCAUUAAAUUCAUUCAUCAUUCUCCAUAAUGUACUGUUUGUUCCCUCUUUCAAACACAAUUUAAUUUCUGUCCACAAACUAGUAAAAC
rnacentral:lncRNA from 1 species